rnacentral:rRNA from 1 species
GGGUAAUGGCCUACCAAGGUUAUGAUGGUUAGCUGGUCUGAGAGGAUGAUCAGCCACACUGGAACUGAAACACGGUCCAGACUCCUACGGGAGGCAGCAGUGAGGAAUAUUGCGCAAUGGGGGCAACCCUGACGCAGCAACGCCGCGUGAGUGAGGAAGGUUUUCGGAUUGUAAAGCUCUGUCGAGCGGAAAGAAGUGCAUGAUGGCUAAUAUCCACCAUGCUUGACGGUACCGCUAAAGGAAGCACCGGCUAACUCCGUGCCAGCAGCCGCGGUAAUACGGGGGGUGCAAGCGUCGUUCGGAAUUAUUGGGCGUAAAGAGCGUGUAGGCGGCUUGACAAGUCAGAUGUGAAAUCCCUGGGCUUAACCUAGGAAGUGCAUUUGAAACUGUCAGGCUUGAGUAAGGGAGAGGAAAGUGGAAUUCCUGGUGUAGAGGUGAAAUUCGUAGAUAUCAGGAGGAACACCGGUGGCGAAGGCGACUUUCUGGCCCUAUACUGACGCUGAGACGCGAAAGCGUGGGUAGCAAACAGGAUUAGAUACCCUGGUAGUCCACGCUGUAAACGAUGUUCACUAGGUGUUGGGGGUAUUGACCCUUUCAGUGCCGCAGCUAACGCAUUAAGUGAA